rnacentral:rRNA from 1 species
UGAGURACACGUGGRARACCUGCCCASAAGCGGGGGAUAACACCUGGAAACWGAUGCUAAUACCGCAUARCAACUUGGACCGCAUGGUCCGAGUUUGAAAGAUGGYUUCKGCUAUCACUUUUGGAUGGUCCCGCGGCGUAUUAGCUASAUGGUGRGGUAACGGYUCACCAUGGMAAUGAUACGUAGCCGACCUGAGAGGGUAAUCGGCCACAUUGGGACUGASACACGGCCCAAAYUCYUACGGGAGGCASCAGUAGGGAAUCUUCCACAAUGGACGAAAKUCUGAUGGAGCAACGCCGCGUGAGUGAAGAAGGGUUUCGGYUCGUAAAAYUCUGUUGUUAAAGAAGAACAUAUCUGAGAGUAWCUGUUCASGYAUUGACGGUAUUUAACCAGAAAGCCACGGCUAACUACGUGCCAGCAGCCGCGGUAAUACGUAGGUGGCAAGCGUUGUCCGGAUUUAUUGGGCGUAAAGCGAGCGCAGGCGGUUUUUUAAGUCUGAUGUGAAAGCCUUCGGCUCAACCGAAGAAGUGCAUCGGAAACUGGGAAACUUGAGUGC